AUAAGAGGUAUAGCCUGCCCAGUGACACAUGUUUAACGGCCGCGGUAUCYUAACCGUGCGAAGGUAGCGUAWUCACUUGUUCUUUAAAUGAGGASUAGUAUGAACGGCACCACGAAGGUUAUAYUGUCUCCUUUCUCCAAUCAGUAAAACUAAUMUCCCCGUGAAGAAGCGAGGAUAAAUUUAUAAGACGAGARGACCCUAUGGAGMUUUAAACUAWCCMGCAUUUGYUAUAUACAAAUUUUUAACUUUAGACAAUCUAGCCCUCUGAYUGGUAAUUUUCGAUUGGGGUGAUCACGGAACAAAAAAUAACCUCCGUGUCGAAAGGAUAAWCCUGAGCAAAAAGCGACAGCUUUCCGCACYAAAAAAUUAACGUUMAUUGACCCAAUAUUUUGAUCAACGAACCAAGUUACCCUAGGGAUAACAGCGCAAUCUACUUCAAGAGUCCCUAUCGACAAGUAGGUUUACGACCUCGAUGUUGGAUCAGGGUACCCCAGUGGUGCAGCCGCUACUAAAGU
rnacentral:rRNA from 1 species